rnacentral:rRNA from 1 species
AACGAACGCUGGCGGCAUGCCUAACACAUGCAAGUCGAACGAUGCCUACGGGCAUAGUGGCGCACGGGUGCGUAACGCGUGGGAAUCUGCCUUUCGGUUCGGAAUAACUCAGGGAAACUUGAGCUAAUACCGGAUAACGUCGCAAGACCAAAGAUUUAUCACCGAAAGAUGAGCCCGCGUAGGAUUAGCUAGUUGGUGAGGUAAAGGCUCACCAAGGCGACGAUCCUUAGCUGGUCUGAGAGGAUGAUCAGCCACACUGGGACUGAGACACGGCCCAGACUCCUACGGGAGGCAGCAGUGGGGAAUAUUGGACAAUGGGCGAAAGCCUGAUCCAGCAAUGCCGCGUGAGUGAUGAAGGCCUUAGGGUUGUAAAGCUCUUUUACCCGGGAAGAUAAUGACGGUACCGGGAGAAUAAGCCCCGGCUAACUCCGUG